rnacentral:rRNA from 1 species
AACGCGAAGAACCUUACCCAGACUUGACAUGUAGAGGACGAUGGUAGAAAUACCAUUUCCCUUCGGGGCCUUUACACAGGUGCUGCAUGGCUGUCGUCAGCUCGUGCCGUGAGGUGUUUGGUUAAGUCCAGCAACGAGCGCAACCCUUAUCAUUAGUUGCCAACACGUAAAGGUGGGAACUCUAAUGAGACUGCCUGGGUUAACCAGGAGGAAGGUGAGGAUGAUGUCAAGUCCGCAUGGCCCUUAUGUCUGGGGCUACACACGUGCUACAAUGGUCGGUACAGAAGGCAGCGAAGCCGCGAGGUGAAGCAAAAUCCCGAAAGCCGAUCUCAGUUCAGAUUGUAGUCUGCAACUCGACUACAUGAAGACGGAAUUGCUAGUAAUGGCAGGUCAGCAACACUGCCGUGAAUACGUUCCCGGGCCUUGUACACACCGAGACGAC